rnacentral:rRNA from 1 species
UACGUAGGGUCCGAGCGUUGUCCGGAAUUACUGGGCGUAAAGAGCUCGUAGGUGGUUUGUCGCGUUGUUCGUGAAAACUCACAGCUUAACUGUGGGCGUGCGGGCGAUACGGGCAGACUGGAGUACUGCAGGGGAGACUGGAAUUCCUGGUGUAGCGGUGGAAUGCGCAGAUAUCAGGAGGAACGCCGGUGGCGAAGGCGGGUCUCUGGGCAGUAACUGACGCUGAGAAGCGAAAGCGUGGGGAGCGAACAGG